rnacentral:piRNA from 1 species
UACCAAGUAAAGAACAAAGCACCUGCGCU